ensembl:lncRNA
GGGGACGCGGGGACCUCAGGAUCCCCGGCGCUGAAGGCAGCUCGGGCCCUCCGGGACUCUGGGGACGCCCGGCUCCGUCACCGGAGCGCAACAGGGGAUCCACGCGCCCCGUCCCAGCUCUGCCGGGCUUCUUCGCCACCUUCCGGAAAAAGUGUCAAGUACAAGUUCAAGUUCAGGGCCAGGCCCCGGGGGCGCCGAGCCUGCCGGGCCGCCUUUGUUCUCCGGUACAAUCGCUCCCUCAUCCCCUCCCGGGCGGGGCCGCAGACACCCCCGCCCCGCCCCCCGCGCCCCGCAGGAGCCGCCUCCUCCCGCCCGCGCGACGCCUGUCCCCAGGUCCCGACGACCUCGCUCAGGGCCACCGAAGGGUCUGGGGGCUUAGGGCGGGGGGAGGCGCGAGUCAAGCCCGUGGGAGCCUCCCCAGCCCCGCAGUCUCAGCCGCAAACUGCGCUCGGUCGGACGGACGCCCGCGCUGAGGGAAGCUGAGAGGAAGCUCUUCUUUGGGGAAUGGAAACCGGGAGGUCAUUUUGAAGAGAAAUCAGCAGCACCUCCUGACCCUGCUGACUGCACCUCCAGGACCUGAGUUCUCUUUGGUCCACAGAUCCACAGUGAAGUCCCCAGCUCCUGGAAAAGGGAUCCUGCUGAGUGCUGGGAAGUUGCCAGUGUGUGUGAAUGGCUGGGUUAGCGCAGGUUUUCCCAGCCACCUCACAGAAAGCACCUUUGGGGGGAGCCUUCGGUUCUGGGUCCGGACUGCCACCUCUCAGAGAAGCCACGUAGUUCUUGGAGCACUGUCGGCAGGCAGAGCCACACCAAAGCAAUGCAGGCGGCCAGGACACACAGCGACAUCAUGAACUUCCCCUCUUCCCCAAAACCACCACAGACCUGGCUUCCUUUUCAGUUCGCCAAAGUCUGGAAAAUUAACCCGAGAGUCUAGGCAAAGGAAACUAUUUUCAGCGGCCUUGCUCUUGGGCAGCCCCUCUUCCCUUCCGGUGUCCCGGAAGUUCCCAGGUGUCAGGCGUAGGCACUCACAGUGACUUUUUGAGGGUGCGCAGCAUUGACCUCUACUUUGGAGGGUGCCAUACGGGUAUCAAAGGAAGCGUGUCCAGAGAAGGAGUCCGGGGCUCCGGCGCAGCCGCUGACCUCUGCGGCUUGGCGGGCUCCACAGAACCGAGACUGCGGGACCGGCCCUGCGCAGAGGCGGGCGGGCGCUGUCCACCCGGAGGUGCUGAAAUACAAGUCGCCUGGCGGAGCCGCCAGCAGGAGCUGCCGGUCCCCACCACCUCGGCCAGCGAGACGGGCUUCUCCGUGGAAGGAAAGCAGUUCCAGACGUCGUCAUCGCCCCCAAACCUCAAUGACUGCCUAACUGGUCUCGCUGCUUUUUGUUCCUCAGCCUUUGCUCCACCCAGUACUACUUACUCGAAGUGGGUUUGUCUUUCUUCUUUCUCCUCUUUCCUCUCUUCUCUCUUCUUUCUCCUCCCUCCCUCCCUCCAGCCCCGCUUCCUCCCGCCCUUCCUCCUCCUUUCCUCCCUCCCUUCUUCUUUCUUCUCUUCUAUGCUGAGGAUCCAAUCAGGGCCUCUCACAUGCCAGGCCAGUACUCUACCACUGAGCUACACUCAGCCCCAGAUUGACCUUUUCAAGAGACAAUUCUGAUCGUGCUUAAAGUCCUUCUAUAGUUUCAGAAUAAAACUCAAAGUUCUUGCCACAGCCAUGAGACCCUCUGUCUUCCUCAGUGGUCUAUGUCUGUCCACUUCCCCCACCUGCACCUGUUGGGACAGAGUGGUGGGUGAGCAUUGAACAUCUGCAUAGGCUUUGAAGAGAGAGCUGCUGAGGUUUGUGGAGGGAUUGGAGUGGGCGUGAGGGGAAUAGUGGAGUCUAAGGUGAGGUGACUGUGGGUGGGAGUUUGGGGUUUCCCAACCUGGAAGGAUGGGGAGUCACACUCACUAUCUCUUGACCUCCCUGACAUCUUGCUCUGAAACCACACCAGGGUGUGCACAGUAGGAAGGUUCUGGUAGAGUCGAGAAUCAUUAUUGAACAGGCUUGAUGAGGCUUCUCAGGUCCUUUACCUGCCCCCAGCCCACUUUAAUGACCCACUACUCCAUUCCAGGUAAAGGAAAAAGGCUCAGUGUCUUAGUUACUUUAUC